AGGGUAAAAAGUUUGGAAAAAGUUUUAUAAAUGAUAUUUUCCCCUUAGAAAUUAAUGCAUGUUAUUGUCAUAAAGACUCUAAGUAGUCUGGCAGUAAAGAACUCUUUCAGUUUUAUUUAAUUUGGACACUGACUGGGUGGUCAACAAAAUAUUUAUUUCUACUCCUGGCAUGAUCUCUGAUGAACUGAGGCUUUCUGGGCCUUGAUUUCUUCAUCUAUAAGGUGUGAUUUGAAUGUCUCUUUAGAAUAAUGUCCGUUGUAAAAGAUGCCCAGUAAAUGACAGCUCUUAUUAGCAUUAUUAAGCUGUUCUGGCUUCUUUUUGCAGGAAAUCAACUGCCCUUUCAUUCUUCCUCAGGCCUUCACAAUGAACAGAAAGCUGCAGUUUCCUCCUCUGUAUUCUUUGUCCACUCCCACUCGCUUCAUAUGCCCCACUGACCCAGGUAUGAGAAACCCGGCCUGCACCUUCUAUAGCACCACAAGCCUAGACUGAGGAAAGAUUCAUAAACGCCACUCUUCUUCGAGUAGCCUACCUGCGCGAAGUCUCACCAACCCAUGUCCUAGAUCCUGCUGUAGUCCUUGGCCUCUGAGAGUUUACACUGUUGCCUCCGCCACGGAAAUAAUGCCUACUGAGCAUCCACAAGGAGGCAAGCACCAAACACACAAUCUCUAGGUCUUCAGGCCCUGUGAGUUUCAGAGACACCAGGAAGACCGUGGCUUCACCCCACUGUCACUCCUCUGUCCACAUGGUUUUUCCUCAGUGCUGUGCAGAGGCUUGGCUGGAGGCUUCAGGCAUACUGAGCAGAGGCAGAAGGUAGAUCAUGGAGAAAGAAAAGGCGGAGGCCAUCCUAAUCACGUGAUGCAGCGCUGGCCACCCCACACUGGGGAGCCAGGGCUACAAAGCCGUCUGGCAAACUGUCUGGGGCCAGUAAUGAUACAACUGCAGGCCAAGCUGUUGCAAGUUGACAUGGCUCCAAGAGAUCUUGAAAAGAGGAAGAGCAGCUUUGUAAAGGUCAAGCUUCCUGGGGAAACAAGGUGGAGCCUAGUGAGGCCCUCGCCAGGUGUGUGAUGGGGCAGGUCAUGCUCUCCUCCCGUUAGGCUCUUCAUGCAGCCUCACACUGAGGAGCUGGAUUAGAUGGAGGACUUCUUCUACUUAUUAGGGCUCUAGAAGCUCUGAAGUUCUGCAAAGAGGCCAUGAGAGAAGUGAGAAGCUGGGUGGUAGGAACCCUGAAACUCUCACCCUCAUUUCAGUGAAGCAGCUCCUCUAAGCACCUGCUUUCUGUGCUUAGCUGAUCCUGGAAAGACUUUCUUCCUGCGUGUGCCAUCCAUACAACUGACGUGAGGGCUGAGCAAUCUUCCUCUCUCUUCUCCCUCUGUGGAUAGUGCACGUGCACACAAAAGUCACGGGAAAUUUCACUCAGUUCUCUACUGUAGGCUCACAGUGAUGUAUUAGAAAGUUCAGCCAGGUACAGUGGCUUACGCCUGUAAUCUCAGCACUUUGGGAGGCUGAGGUGGGCAGAUCACCUGAGGUCAGGAAUUUGAGACCAGCCUGGCCAACAUGGUGAAACCCCGUCUACUAAAAAUACAAAAAUCAGCCAGGCGUGGUGGCCCGUGCCUUUAAUCCCAGCUACUUGGGAGGCUGAGACAGGAGAAUCGCUUGAACCCGGGAGGCGGAGGUUGCAGUGAGCCAAGAUCAUACCAUUGCACUCCAGCCUGGGCAACAAGAGCAAAACUCCAUCUCAAAAAAGAAAAAAGAAAAGAAAAAAGAAAACUCACACUACAGAAAGGAAUGAAAAGCUCUUUGUCUAGAGGCCUCAUUUGAGGGCAGCUCCAUCAGCAUGGGGCCUGUCUGCAAGUGCACUGGGAUGCCUCAGAUGCACAGCUGGACCAAUAUUUCCGACUCCUUCGCGAUGAUGUGUGGCUGCGUAUGGUAGACGUGCAGGUGUGCCUCCAGAUGGGCCUUGCUCCAGCAAGUGCAGUCAAUAGACAGUCUCCUGCCAUCACCUCCAUCAGGGUCGGCCUCAGCUACAGAGCCUCAUCCACUUUGCCCAAUGUCACACCCUUCCAGGAACCUCCUACCUCUGGGGACCACAUGAGGCACGGCUAUUUUGGCCCAAUAAAAGACACCGCUGAUGGGUAACAUCCACUGUAGAGGUCCCCACAGGGUUGGCCGUUGGUUUGUCAGGACUGUGUCAUGGCUUGACUUCUCCUUCUGCCCAAUUCCAUUUCUUCUCCCUUUCCAUUCAGAAGUAUUGAUUCCCAAUAUACUUUAUGCGCCCUCAAACUUCGUGUUAGCAUCUGCCUCCUGAGAAGGCAGCCUGCUCCUCUGUGUGGCUGUGUUGUCUCUAACAGUGUGAGCAGGAGUUGUGUGCGCUAUUUUCGGGCCUGGCCCUUGAAGCCUUUGGAGUGAAUCCAUCUUGCUUUCUCCUUCAGCCCGCUGAAUGUGGACUCCAGCGGUGCCCUAGGGGAUGGUGGAGCCACCAGAUGGAAGUAGCCUGGUAAUCCUGAGAAGGAGAGAUGCUUCGCUGACGUGAACAUCUUUCCAGAACUGUUAAGUGAGUUGGAAAUGAACUUCUACUACACAAAGCCGCUGAAAUUUGGGCAUCUGUUACUUCAGUUGGCCUACUCAAGCUUCUCUCCUCUCCUCACUUACCUAUCCAGAAGCAAUGGCGGGUCUUUCGGGAUGGGGGUGGGGCAUUGAUCAGAACUGCCUGGAAGCUCAAGUACCCACUAUACCUAGGCUCAAGCAGGCCAGAGAUUCCCAGAGAACAAGAGAGAAGAACAAGGCUUGAGGUGCCUUUUCUGUACAGAGAUCCAUACUUCAUCAAAAUGUGGCCGUUUGCUACCAGGAUCUCAUCAAUAAAGAAGCAACUGCCCUCCCUUGGGGGCAGCAGUCAGA